rnacentral:rRNA from 1 species
GAUGAACGCUGGCGGCGUGCCUAAUACAUGCCAGUCGAGCGAACAGACGAGGAGCUUGCUCCUCUGACGUUAGCGGCGGACGGGUGAGUAACACGUGGAUAACCUACCUAUAAGACUGGGAUAACUUCGGGAAACCGGAGCUAAUACCGGAUAAUAUAUUGAACCGCAUGGUUCAAUAGUGAAAGACGGUUUUGCUGUCCCUUAUAGAUGGAUCCGCGCCGCAUUAGCUAGUUGGUAAGGUAACGGCUUACCAAGGCAACGAUGCGUAGCCGACCUGAGAGGGUGAUCGGCCACACUGGAACUGAGACACGGUCCAGACUCCUACGGGAGGCAGCAGUAGGGAAUCUUCCGCAAUGGGCGAAAGCUUGACGGAGCAACGCCGCGUGAGUGAUGAAGGUCUUCGGAUCGUAAAACUCUGUUAUUAGGGAAGAACAAAUGUGUAAGUAACUAUGCACGUCUUGACGGUACCUAAUCAGAAAGCCACGGCUAACUACGUG